CUCCUACGGGAGGCAGCAGUGAGGAAUAUUGGUCAAUGGACGAGAGUCUGAACCAGCCAAGUAGCGUGAAGGAUGAAGGUUCUAUGGAUUGUAAACUUCUUUUAUACGGGAAUAAACGAAUCCACGUGUGGAUUUUUGCAUGUACCGUAUGAAUAAGGAUCGGCUAACUCCGUGCCAGCAGCCGCGGUAAUACGGAGGAUCCGAGCGUUAUCCGGAUUUAUUGGGUUUAAAGGGAGCGUAGAUGGGUUGUUAGGUCAGUUGUGAAAGUUUGCGGCUCAACCGUAAAAUUGCAAUUGAUACUGGCAGUCUUGAGUACAGUUGAGGUAGGCGGAAUUCGUGGUGUAGCGGUGAAAUGCUUAGAUAUCACGAAGAACUCCGAUUGCGAAGGCAGCUUACUAACCUGUAACUGACAUUGAUGCUCGAAAGUGUGGGUAUCAAACAGGAUUAGAUACCCUGGUAGUCCACACAGUAAACGAUGAAUACUCGCUGUUGGCGAUAUACGGUCAGCGGCCAAGCGAAAGCAUUAAGUAUUCCACCUGGGGAGUACGCCGGCAACGGUGAAACUCAAAGGAAUUGACGGGGGCCCGCACAAGCGGAGGAACAUGUGGUUUAAUUCGAUGAUACGCGAGGAACCUUACCCGGGCUUAAAUUGCAACUGACUGAACCGGAAACGGUUCUUUCUUCGGACAGUUGUGAAGGUGCUGCAUGGUUGUCGUCAGCUCGUGCCGUGAGGUGUCGGCUUAAGUGCCAUAACGAGCGCAACCCUUACGGGUAGUUACCAUCAGGUUAUGCUGGGGACUCUACCCGGACUGCCGUCGUAAGAUGUGAGGAAGGUGGGGAUGACGUCAAAUCAGCACGGCCCUUACGUCCGGGGCUACACACGUGUUACAAUGGGGGGUACAGAAGGCAGCUACACGGCGACGUGGUGCUAAUCCCGAAAGCCUCUCUCAGUUCGGAUUGGAGUCUGCAACCCGACUCCAUGAAGCUGGAUUCGCUAGUAAUCGCGCAUCAGCCACGGCGCGGUGAAUACGUUCCCGGGCCUUGUACACACCGC
rnacentral:rRNA from 1 species